rnacentral:rRNA from 1 species
AGGACGAACGCUGGCGGCGUGCUUAACACAUGCAAGUCGAGCGGAAAGGCCCUUCGGGGUACUCGAGCGGCGAACGGGUGAGUAACACGUGAGUAAUCUGCCCCUAGCUCUGGGAUAGCUCCGGGAAACCGGGAUUAAUACCGGAUACGACCACCUUAGACAUCUUUUGUGGUGGAAAGAAUUUCGGCUAGGGAUGAGCUCGCGGCCUAUCAGCUUGUUGGUGGGGUAACGGCCUACCAAGGCGACGACGGGUAGCCGGCCUGAGAGGGCGACCGGCCACACUGGGACUGAGACACGGCCCAGACUCCUACGGGAGGCAGCAGUGGGAAUAUUGCGCAAUGGGCGAAAGCCUGACGCAGCGACGCCGCGUGGGGAUGAAGGCCUUCGGGUUGUAAACCCUUUCUAGCAGGGACGAAGCGAAAGUGACGGUACCUGCAGAAGAAGCGCCGGCUAACUACGCGCCAGCAGCCGC